rnacentral:rRNA from 1 species
ACGAACGCUGGCGGCGUGCUUAACACCUGCAAGUCGAACGGAAAGGCCCCUUUGGGGGUACUCGAGUGGCGAACGGGUGAGUAACACGUGAGUAACCUGCCCUUGACUUCGGGAUAACUUCAGGAAACUGGGGCUAAUACCGGAUAGGAAUCCUUGCUGCAUGGUGGGGGUUGGAAAGCUUCGGCGGUUUUGGAUGGACUCGCGGCUUAUCAGCUUGUUGGUGGGGUAGUGGCUUACCAAGGCUUUGACGGGUAGCCGGCCUGAGAGGGCGACCGGCCACAGUGGGACUGAGAUACGGCCCAGACUCCUACGGGAGGCAGCAGUGGGGAAGAUUGCACAAUGGGCGGAAGCCUGAUGCAGCAACGCCGCGUGCGGGAUGACGGCCUUCGGGUUGUAAACCGCUUUCAGCAGGGGCGAAGCUUGUGGUGACGGUACCUGCAGAAGAAGCACCGGCUAACUACGUG